rnacentral:rRNA from 1 species
GUAGGUGGCAAGCGUUGUCCGGAAUUAUUGGGCGUAAAGCGCGCGCAGGCGGGUCCUUUAAGUCUGAUGUGAAAGCCCACGGGCUCAACCGUGGAGGGUCAUUGGAAACUGGGGGACUUGAGUACAGAAGAGGAAAGCGGAAUUCCAAGUGUAGCGGUGAAAUGCGUAGAGAUUCGGAGGAACACCAGUGGCGAAGGCGGCUUUCUGGUCUGUAACUGACGCUGAGGCGCGAAAGCGUGGGGAGCAAACAGGAUUAGAUACCCUGGUAGUCCACGCCGUAAACGAUGAGUGCUAAGUGUUAGGGGGUUUCCGCCCCUUAGUGCUGCAGCUAACGCAUUAAGCACUCCGCCUGGGGAGUACGGCCGCAAAGGCUG